rnacentral:lncRNA from 1 species
CUUCCUAUUACCUAUUUCACAGCAUAAGCCUACAGGGUACGAAGAAUGAACUCUGAGAAUGUUUGGAGAAUGUUUCAUCAUUACUAACAGGAUAUUCCUCAUGACAUUGCUGUCUGGAUAAUUGGUCUGGUGGAAGGGUAGAUGGUUCCAGAUUAAACAUGGGAAGAGAUGAAUGUCUAGAAGAAAUGAAUUUGAAACUGAGAUCUAAAGGACAAGAAUGAUGGACAGAAGUGAACAGGCUGUCUCAGGUUCAUUGAUUGAGAGAUGCUUCUUGGCUAUUCACUGCUUCAAUUGUUAUUCUCCAUUUUAUGGCUGCUCCAUGAAAAUGAACAAGAAAGGCACGGAGAUGAUAGAGAGCAAGUUUACAUGAUAGAGGAAGAAAGUUGUUAACAUGGGAGAUGGGAAAGAACAUUAAUAGGUGAUGUAUAUUCUUAGAAAAAAUGAUGACUGCUGUGGAUGAGUUUUAUCUCAAUUCUGAGCAGGUAGUUAGAGGGAAUGGUUGGAAUUUAACUCUGGAGUCUGAUGGCCUGGGAUACUUUGUAGUUUUGUGAUCUACAAAAUAAUGUUACAAUACUAUUUUUAAAAAUUGUUAUGAAAAUUAUAUAAGUUCAUAUAUAUAAACUACUUAGCAAAUG